rnacentral:rRNA from 1 species
GAACGCUAGCUACAGGCUUAACACAUGCAAGUCGAGGGGCAGCACAGAGAUAGCUUGCUAUCGUUGGGUGGCGACCGGCGCACGGGUGAGUAACGCGUAUCCAACCUGCCCAUUACUCAGGGAUAGCCUUGCGAAAGUAAGAUUAAUACCUGAUGUUGUUAAAAACCCGCAUGAGUUUUUAACCAAAGAUUUAUUGGUAAUGGAUGGGGAUGCGUGACAUUAGGUAGUAGGUGAGGUAACGGCUCACCUAGCCGACGAUGUCUAGGGGUUCUGAGAGGAAGGUCCCCCACACUGGAACUGAGACACGGACCAGACUCCUACGGGAGGCAGCAGUGAGGAAUAUUGGUCAAUGGACGCAAGUCUGAACCAGCCAUGCCGCGUGCAGGAUGACGGCUCUAUGAGUUGUAAACUGCUUUUGUACAAGGGUAAACCCCGAUACGUGUAUCGGGCUGAAAGUACUGUACGAAUAAGGAUCGGCUAACUCCGUG